rnacentral:rRNA from 1 species
UAAACGAUGAGUGCUAAGUGUUAGGGGGUUUCCGCCCCUUAGUGCUGCAGCUAACGCAUUAAGCACUCCGCCUGGGGAGUACGGUCGCAAGACUGAAACUCAAAGGAAUUGACGGGGGCCCGCACAAGCGGUGGAGCAUGUGGUUUAAUUCGAAGCAACGCGAAGAACCUUACCAGGUCUUGACAUCCUCUGACAACCCUAGAGAUAGGGCUUUCCCUUCGGGGACAGAGUGACAGGUGGUGCAUGGUUGUCGUCAGCUCGUGUCGUGAGAUGUUGGGUUAAGUCCCGCAACGAGCGCAACCCUUGAUCUUAGUUGCCAGCA